rnacentral:rRNA from 1 species
GACGAACGCUGGCGGCGUGCUUAACACAUGCAAGUCGAACGGAAAGGCCUCUUUCGGGGGGUACUCCAGUGGCGAACGGGUGAGUAACACGUGAGUAACCUGCCCUUGACUUUGGGAUAACUUCAGGAAACUGGGGCUAAUACCGGAUAGGAGCUCCUGCUGCAUGGUGGGGGUUGGAAAGUUUCGGCGGUUGGGGAUGGACUCGCGGCUUAUCAGCUUGUUGGUGGGGUAGUGGCUUACCAAGGCUUUGACGGGUAGCCGGCCUGAGAGGGUGACCGGCCACAUUGGGACUGAGAUACGGCCCAGACUCCUACGGGAGGCAGCAGUGGGGAAUAUUGCACAAUGGGUGGAAGCCUGAUGCAGCAACGCCGUGUGCGGGAUGACGGCCUUCGGGUUGUAAACCGCUUUCGCUCAUGACGAAGCUUUGUGUGACGGUAGUGGGUAAAGAAGCACCGGCUAACUACGUG